rnacentral:misc_RNA from 1 species
GAUGAAGAACGUAGUGAAAUGUGAUAAGUAAUGUGAAUUGCAGAGUCUCGUGAAUCAUCGAAUCUUUGAACGCACAUUGCGCCCAAUGGUAUUCCAUUGGGCAUACCUGUUUGAGUAUCAGAAUCCUUUCAAUUAUCAAACUUUUAUAUAUAGAGAUGUAUGUAAAGAUGUUUGGAAUAAAGUUGAGAAAAGUAGUAUUGUUUAUAAUAUUACUUUCUUAAAAACCAGAAAUAUUAUGUUUUGAUUUUUCUUCACCUCAUUUUGUAUGAAAUUUUAACAAAUGAGUAUGAGUAAAAAUAACAAUACUUUGGAUGACCUCAAAUCAGGUAGGGAUACCCGCUGAACUUAAGCAUAUCAAUAAGCGGAGGA